AUGAGCUGGGGAUGAGAGAAGUCGCAGGAAGAAUCCUCUGCCCGGAGCCUGCAGACUCCAACCCCUCAGCGUGAGGGUCAGGAGCCCCACAGUCCCCACAGCAGCAGGAAGCACUAGCUCCGGGUCCCGAGAAAGGAGGGCCCCAACUCCAGGAGAUGCGGCCCAGGAGCUGAGAACACGUCGGCUCCGGGAGAGGACAGGGCUUCAGGGACCUUAGGGCCGCCC
rnacentral:lncRNA from 1 species